UGGGGAAUUUUGGACAAUGGGCGAAAGCCUGAUCCAGCAAUGCCGCGUGUGUGAAGAAGGCCUUCGGGUUGUAAAGCACUUUUGUCCGGAAAGAAAUCCUUGGCUCUAAGUACAGUCGGGGGAUGACGGUACCGGAAGAAUAAGCACCGGCUAACUACGUGCCAGCAGCCGCGGUAAUACGUAGGGUGCAAGCGUUAAUCGGAAUUACUGGGCGUAAAGCGUGCGCAGGCGGUUUGCUAAGACCGAUGUGAAAUCCCCGGGCUCAACCUGGGAACUGCAUUGGUGACUGGGCAGGCUAGAGUAUGGCAGAGGGGGUAGAAUUCCACGUGUAGCAGUGAAAUGCGUAGAGAUGUGGAGGAAUACCGAUGGCGAAGGCAGCCCCUGGGCCAAGUACUGACGCUCAUGCACGAAAAGCGUGGGGGAGCAAAACAGGAUUAGAUACCCCUGGUAGUCCACGCCCUUAAAACGAUGUCAACUAGUUGUUGGGGGAUUCAUUUCCUUAGUAACGUAGCUAACGCGUGAAGUUGACCGCCUGGGGGAGUACGGUCGCAAGAUUAAAAACUUAAAU
rnacentral:rRNA from 1 species